GUGUCAUGUGAAAGGAGAGAAGGUUAGUUAGCACUUCCCUUGACAAGGAUGGAAGAGGCCCUUGGGCCUAACAACACACAUACAGUUAAGGCAUUGCUACCUACUUCGUGGCAUCUAACCACUGUUUUUA
ensembl:snRNA Gm23879 predicted gene, 23879